rnacentral:lncRNA from 1 species
CAGGGAGAACUGGGAAAGUGUGAGGGGGAGUGUGGGGAUGUGGCUUGGGACAGGGAAGUGGAUUCUGGGUUCGUUAUGCCAGGAGGUUGAGAAGUUCAGCCUUGACAAAGCUUUGGUGGUUUAGAUAAGCAUCUUUAUACAAGUAUAACCCUUUCAAGUCUUUAUUUCAACUUUUUUUUUUUUUUCCUCUUAAUCUUUCAAGGUUUUUCUCCUCACUCUUUUUCCUAAGCUCUUCCUGCUUUCAAGGGACCCCUUUCUUCUCCUAAAUCGAAUCCAGGUGCUCGCUUCUGUUCCUUUCUUUCUUGUUUUACUCUUCCCCCCUACCCAGCAGACUGCGUACCUUUUUGUUACUGCAGCAUGAAGCCACCUGUGGUGUUCUAGUCCUUAUGAAGUGCUGUAUGCCAGUGACAGAGCAUGUCUCAUGAUGCACAAGCAAUCCCAGGCACCAAGGAGUUGAGAUCUCCUGAAACCAACCUGCCCGAAGUUGUUUUACUGCCUCCUCCCUGUCCCUGUGGUAAAGGCCCACCUGAAAGAAAAGCCGGAAAGUCCAAUUCUGCUGAAACUUCUCUACUCAAGGUAUGAGAGUUCAGAGCACCAGUGUGGUCAGAUUAUUUAUCUCUAUCUAGCAAAUGUCACCAUUGUGCUUCUUCAUCUGAAUCAAACAGAUCACAGGGGCAGGCUGGAGUCCCUGUGCCCAGAUGUGAGUCCUAAUCAGUUAGCAUUCGGCAACGUGGGAUGCACUCUUUGCUUUAAUAAGAAAUAUGACAAGUCAUGGAAUCAUAGAAUCAUGGAAUGACUUGAGUUGGAAUGGCACUGCCAUUCCGUUAGGCACUGGAAUGGUUGCCCAGGGAGGUGGUGGAGUUGCCGUCCCUCGCAGUGUUCAAGAGCUGUCUGGAUGAGGAGCUAUAAGAUGUGGUUUAGUGGCUUGUGGUAGCAAUGGUAAUGGGAGGAUGGUUGGACAGAUGAUCUUAUAGGUCCUUUCCAACCUUAUGAUUCUAUGACCUUCAGCCCCUGCUGUGGCUUGAAUGCCAGCUCAGGCUCCCAGAGCCCAUCUCUGGCCUUGGUACCUCCAUUGAUUGGGUAGCACAGCUCUCUGGGAGCAGUGCCAGGUCAUCUCCAUCCUCUGGGAUCAGUUGGAUCAUCCUAGAUGGAUUUACAUCAAAAUAAAUGAGCCAGUUGAGGUUGAGUAAGGCUUUAA